GGGCCAAAAACUUUUGCAAUGAAGUUAAAACCAAUAACUAUAGUGGGCCAAGUUUUCAUUCAGAAUAAGCCCAAGUGGCUCAGAACAGCAACAGAACAUUUCAUGAUCCCAAAACUUCUCAGUCAAUCGAUUUUAAUCAAAGAUUAAUGUUUAAAUUGACCAAAAUUGAAUUAAUUCGGGUUUAUAAACAGAGUACGAGGAAAGUUAUGUUUCUAGAUAUUAACAAAAUCAGUUUUAUGGAAUCUUCUGCUUUUCAUCAAAACAGCCCAAAAUAUGCAGGUAAGAUAGUUCCAAAAUUUUAUGAACAGAUGUCUGGCUGAGAAACUGAGAAAGAAAUAAAUGGGGUACUCUUUUUUUUAACUUACAUAGGGUGUAGUCCUUCGAUGACAAGGAUCUUAGGAGGCUUGAUGAGCUCAGGAGGAUCUAAGAGACCAGUAACAUGGUUGUAGAUAGGCUUG
rnacentral:lncRNA from 1 species